rnacentral:rRNA from 1 species
CCUACGGGUGGCAGCAGUCGAGAAUCAUUCACAAUGGGGGAAACCCUGAUGGUGCGACGCCGCGUGGGGGAAUGAAGGUCUUCGGAUUGUAAACCUCUUUCAUGUGGGAGCAAAUUAAAAAGAUAGUACCACAAGAGGAAGAGACGGCUAACUCUGUGCCAGCAGCCGCGGUAAUACAGAGGUCUCAAGCGUUGUUCGGAAUCACUGGGCGUAAAGCGUGCGUAGGCUGUUUCGUAAGUCGUGUGUGAAAGGCGCGGGCUCAACCCGCGGACGGCACAUGAGACUGCGAGACUAGAGUGAUGGAGGGGGAACCGGAAUGCUCGGUGUAGCAGUGAAAUGCGUAGAGAUCGAGAGGAACACUCGUGGCGAAGGCGGGUUCCUGGACAUUAACUGACGCUGAGGCACGAAGGCCAGGGGAGCGAAAGGGAUUAGAUACCCUUGUAGUC